rnacentral:rRNA from 1 species
ACGGAGGGCGCAAGCGUUGUUCGGAAUCAUUGGGCGUAAAGCGCGUGUAGGCGGCUUGGCAAGUCGGAUGUGAAAUCCCGGGGCUCAACCCCGGAACUGCAUUCGAAACUGCCUCGCUAGAGUCCCGGAGAGGAGGGCGGAAUUCCCGGUGUAGAGGUGAAAUUCGUAGAUAUCGGGAGGAACACCAGUGGCGAAGGCGGCCCUCUGGACGGUGACUGACGCUGAGAUGCGAAAGCGUGGGGAGCAAACAGGAUUAGAUACCCUGGUAGUCCACGCUGUAAACGUUGGGUGCUAGGUGUCGCGGGUAUUGACCCCUGCGGUGCCGACGCUAACGCAUUUAGCACCCCGCCUGGGGAGUACGGUCGCAAGGCUA